UACGUAGGGGGCAAGCGUUGUCCGGAAUCAUUGGGCGUAAAGAGCGUGUAGGCGGUCCGGUAAGUCGGCUGUGAAAGUCCAGGGCUCAACCCUGGGAUGCCGGUCGAUACUGCCGGACUAGAGUUCGGAAGAGGCGAGUGGAAUUCCCGGUGUAGCGGUGAAAUGCGCAGAUAUCGGGGAGGAACACCUAUGGCGAAGGCAGCUCGCUGGGACGUUACUGACGCUGAGAACGCGGAAAGCGUGGGGAGCAAACAGG
rnacentral:rRNA from 1 species